rnacentral:rRNA from 1 species
GACGUAGGGCGCGAGCGUUGUCCGGAUUUAUUGGGCGUAAAGAGCUCGUAGGCGGCUUGUCGCGUCGUUCGUGAAAACCUGCAGCUCAACUGCAGGCUUGCGGUCGAUACGGGCAGGCUAGAGUUCGGUAGGGGAGACUGGAAUUCCUGGUGUGAGCGGUGGAAAUGACGCAGAUAUCAGGAGGAACACCGGUGGCGAAGGCGGGUCUCUGGGCCGAUACUGACGCUGAGGAGCGAAAGCGUGGGGAGCGAACAGG